CAUUUCGGGUUUUCAAUAAAUUUCAAAUCCAUGUGUAAUUAAAUUCAAAUAACUUACUUAAAUUUAAUUUUGUGAUUAUGUGAUUAAAUUGUAUAAUAGGUAAAUUACUUCUCUAUAAAUACAUAUAUGUAUAUUUUUUUUGUCAUAGGUUUUACCCGAUAUAUUUACGUUUAUUCCUACAGUUUUUGAACAAAACAAUAGGGAAGUGUCUAGCUGAUUUUUUUCUAAGUAUGUAAAAAGAAAUUUAAUUUAUAUUUGCAUACUGAACAAUUUUAAACGAAGUUUGGUUAAACAAAUGUUUAAAAGUUACGAUUUUUUUCGUGAAUUUUUGGCGGGUUACAAUUUUAUCCACAUAUAUAUUACCAUAGAAACUGGUAUUACUAGAUCAGCAGAGCAUCUCACAGUGUGACUCAGCAAAAUAUCUAGGAAUGCACCUGGACUCUCGGCUCAACCUGAAACACCACGUUAGAUAGAAAAACCUGCAAAUUAAGAAGAAAAUGCAACAACUAUAUUGGCUAGUCGGAAAACAUUCCGAAAUAGACCUCAUAAGCAAACGCCUCUUGUACGUAAUGAUAAUUAAACCAAUAUGGACUUACGGGAAUUUAACUGUGGGGUUAUACCAGCAAGUCAAAUAUUGAGAUUAUACAACGUUGCCGCAGCUUACCGGUAUGACAGAAACAACAUUAUGUGAAUAAUGUCGUUUCUCAGUGGCGAAAUAUGAUGAUCACCUUCAUCCAGAACGAGAUUACCAAGUUUGCCCGCAAACAUGAAAAAAAACUGGAUCAACAAACCAAUCCAGCAGCAAUUCAACUAGACAUUAGGCGUCUCAAACAUCAAACACCAUAUGGCUUAGGCUAAGAUCGGGGCCACUCCACUGGGAGUGAGAUUCCACACGUUUAUUUUUUUUUUUUUUGUAUAUAAAUACAUCACAAGUAUUUAUGUACGUCUCUGAUAAUGUAUUGUUAAAGAUUUAUUUUGAUCGUUAUAAUAAAAGCUUUCGG